ACCCUGGCAUGCUUGAGGUUCUAACUCUGGUCCGUGAUCCGGAUCGAGGACAGUGUAUGGUGGGCAGUUUGACUGGGGCGGUCUCCUCCUAAAGAGUAACGGAGGAGUACGAAGGUGCGCUCAGACCGGUCGGAAAUCGGUCGCAGAGUAUAAAGGCAAAAGCGCGCUUGACUGCGAGACAGACACGUCGAGCAGGUACGAAAGUAGGUCUUAGUGAUCCGGUGGUUCUGUAUGGAAGGGCCAUCGCUCAACGGAUAAAAGGUACUCCGGGGAUAACAGGCUGAUACCGCCCAAGAGUUCAUAUCGACGGCGGUGUUUGGCACCUCGAUGUCGGCUCAUCACAUCCUGGGGCUGAAGCCGGUCCCAAGGGUAUGGCUGUUCGCCAUUUAAAGUGGUACGCGAGCUGGGUUUAGAACGUCGUGAGACAGUUCGGUCCCUAUCUGCCGUGUGAGAUCUCACUGGGAACUUGAUUCCCCUGAAGGGCCGUCGAAGACUACGACGUUGAUAGGCUGGGUGUGUAAGCGUUGUGAGGCGUUGAGCUAACCAGUACUAAUUGCCCGUGAGCAAGAGUUCAUAUCGACGGCGGUGUUUGGCACCUCGAUGUCGGCUCAUCAC
rnacentral:rRNA from 1 species